UGCUUAAGAAGUUGAUAAUCUCAUUCUAAUCAGUAAUCACAGAUUAACUACCUAAAGCAUCAAGGAGAUAAUGGUAAUUAAACUUCCUCUAACGAUGAAUAUAUAUGGUGGUGUCCAGCUCAAAGAUAAUGAAGAAAAAGGAUAGUUGGAUUAGGAAAAUGAGAAAUUUCACCUACAAGAUCUUUAGAGGACAGGACAGCUUUAAUUACUCUAUAGGUAACGUCUCAACUGUUAUAUCCAUCCACUACUAUAUAAAACACUACUGGCAUUGUACGUUAGCCAGCUUGCGGGUAAAUUAACCGCCUUUCUUUCAGGUUUCUUCUCUCUUAUCAUAAAUAGUUAUACCACUUCCUGUUUUCAUUAAUUUUCACUCUUUCUUCCUCGUGGAUACAAGUCUCUGAUACAUUUAGCAGGUUGCGGUGCUGUGGGUUAAUAAUUAUUCUUCAAAUUUUAGUUGGGUUUUGUGGAGAUACCUGAAACCCAGAAAUGGAUGAUGGUGAUGAGUAUGCAAAGCUUAUCAGGAGAAUGAACUCUCCUAGGUGUUCUAUUUCUCUCUCAAUUGUACAUUAUUAGUAAUUACUGGUUUUUCUUUAUCUCCCUUCCUUUCACGGACACAAAUUUUUUCUUUUGAGAAGUCACAAGAGAUCUUAAUAGGCCUUUUUAAUGUUUCCUUUUACGUUUCUGUUUCUCUUCUGCUUUUUUUUCUUUGUCAUUUUUAUAGCUUGCUGGCAUUUUGAAGGUUUUGCAUUCUGUCUUAAGAAGACAUUCAUCUUUGAACUUCGAUUACAUCUUGUUUCAGUUGUUUAUCAUUAUCGAUUCUUGUUCUGUUUUAGUUGAUGAAAUGAUACCUUCUAGUUUUUACCCAGCUCCUUUCAUUGAAGCUAAAGUGUUUUAGUAAUUUGCUCAACAGUCUACCUUUACUAAUUGUUUCUAUGAUUGGUGAUGUCAAGGCGCUGUGUCCUAUUAGCACAAACUGUAUGCCAAAAUUUCUCUACAAAGUACCUUAUUUUUAUUGUUUCUGUAAAUACACUUCUCAUUGAAUGAAAUAUGCUUUUGUGGUUGCAGAGUUGUGAUUGACAAUGAUGCUAGUGAGCACGCCACAGUUAUAAAGGUACACCUUGAAUUAAUAUUUACAAUAAGUUGAAAUGUGCUUGAACAAACAGGUUCAAAUUAGCUAGCAAGCCAACUAAAUUGUCUUUCUACUGUUAUUUUUUGUGUACUUUUUCAGGCAGCACAUACUGCCUGUAAAAAAUUUCAAUUGGGCAGUUUUCUUGUGUAGGUGGAUACUGUCAAUAGGCAUGGUACUCUCCUUGAAGUUGUUCAAGUCCUCACAGACCUAAACCUUGUGAUAACAAAAGCUUACAUAUCCCGUGAUGGAGUGUGGUUCAUGGAUGGUAAGGUUAAAUUUGUUAAUUGAGAACUGCACCUUGAAGAAAUUAUCGCUUAGUUCCUUCAAUCUCAUGGAUUUCAAAAUUCAGUGUUUUACGUGACUGGUAAUGAUGGGAACAAAGUUGAAGAUGAAAGGGUUCUGAAUUACAUACAGAAGGUAUUUGAUAUUUGGCUUUUCCGCUGUUCACUGCUCAAAGCAAACUUAAUAUUGAACUGUACUUCUUCACUGUCCAAGUUGUACUGAGAGUAAACUUAACUUCUUUUAAACCAAGCAAGGCAUGUAAGCUAAAUGAUCCUUACAAUGCACCUGUUUUAAUCAAUUUGGCAGGCGCUUGAAAUUGAUGCAUCCGUGGUUAAUUCAGUAAGGAGUUCUAUUGGAGAGUAUACCUCAAUUGAACUAUCUGGCACAGAUAGGCCUGGUUUGCUGUCAGAUGUAUCUGCAGUACUGACUGAUCUGGGAUGUAACGUGGUAAAUGCUGAAAUUUGGACACACAAUGCUAGAGCAGCAGCUGUAAUGCACAUUACAGAACAGUCAACUGGGAGUGCUAUCGAAGACCCUAAGCGGCUCUCUCUGAUAAAGGAACUGCUUUCUAAUGUCCUAAGAGCAAACGGGAAUUUUAGGAGCGCAAUAAUAUGCAUUUCGUCUCCCGAGGAAACGCACACAGGGAGAAGAUUGCACCAGAUGAUGUUUGCAGCUAGGGACUUUGAAAAGCUUGAGAGUGUAAAUGAAAACAGCACAGGACCCUAUGUUAAUGUGUCCGAUUGCGCUGACAGAGAUUACACAGUUGUUACAGUAAGGUGCAUAGACCGGCCAAAGCUAUUGUUUGACACUGUAUUCGCUCUAACAGACAUGCAGUAUGAGGUGUUCCAUGGAACAGUCAUUACUGGUAGAAAGGAAGCUUAUCAGGUACUUUUUUAAUCCCAUCCCGUUACAAUGAAGUUCCUUAGCAGGAAAAAGAGAUCCCCAGGCCUUUAGAUAGAUGAAUCCAACGUUCCAAGUUCAAGAUCCUCUUCCGUUGAUUUGUAAACCAGAAAAGUUAAAAACAAUAGACUUCUCUUUUAUCCUGAUAUUGGAUAAGGUUUAAUGCGAUUCAGAGCAUAAAAACCAGUUAAUUAUUAGCUUAUCAUCUUUACUGCAUUGGCUUUAUUUUAAACUCUAGAAUUUUGCAGGAGUAUUAUAUCAGGCAUGUGGAUGGACUGCCCAUAAGUUCAGAAGCUGAACGACAACGGGUUACAGAGUGUCUUGAGGCAGCAAUUGAGAGGCGAUCAUCAGAGGUAUUGCUUUACUGCUUGGCUUGCUUUAUAUUUUUGUCAUGUCCUCCAAAUAAUGAUCAUUCCCAUCUCCUGCAGGGACUAGAACUAGAGAUGUGCACAGAUGACCGCUUUGGACUCCUUUCGGAUAUCACGAGGAUACUUCGCGAAAACGGCUUGAGCAUUAGAAGAGCCGAAAUUUCGACGAAGGAUGGAAAAGCAAAAGAUAGUUUCUUUGUCACAGAUGUGUCAGGGGACCCUGUUGACCCCAAAAUUGUCCUUUUGAUUCAGCAACAAAUCGGAAAAACUGUUUUACAUGUGAGAGGGAAAUCAAAUGUGCCACCGGAAUCUCCCAAGGAGACGCCUAGAAGUUUCCUUUUUGGGACCCUUUUCAGAUGUCGAAGUUUCCAAAAUUUUGGACUCAUUAAAUCUUACUCAUAGUUUGCUACUAUCACACGAUACUAAUUACGAUGAAAAGGGAAAGAAGCACAACAGAAAAGACACUUCAUACUCUCAUCUCAAAGAUUUGAUUGUAUUUAGAAAUUACUUGGAAGGUUCUCGUCAUUUCAAUUGGCCUCUUGCACAGUUCAUGAAGACAUUGAAUUUGGGUUGUACAGAAACAAGAGAGAUUGUACAGAAACUUAUCUCUCAAAGAAAAGGAAAAGAAAAAUAUGUUUUUUGAGGUCAAUUAGAAUCAGUCUGCUCAAUAUGUGUAUGGUAUAUUCACUGAAGAGAUUUCUGUACCUUAUCUACCAUUUUUCUCCCGG
rnacentral:misc_RNA from 1 species